CGCAGGGCUGUCGCUGACCUUCAAAGGUCGUGCACGCCUGAGCAUCCUCACACAUCCAUCUCACCCCUUUGUGCAUCACCGCGUGGGUCUCCUUUUCACAAAGGAGCUCACGUUUUCACACAAAACUUGAUACAGUGUAGAAUGUUAUCUUUGCGGUCACACGCAAUCAAUACAACUUUCAACAACGGAUCUCUUGGCUCUCGCAUCGAUGAAGAACGCAGCGAAAUGCGAUACGUAAUGUGAAUUGCAGAAUUCAGUGAAUCAUCGAAUCUUUGAACGCACCUUGCGCCCCUUGGCAUUCCGAGGGGCACACCCGUUUGAGUGUCGUGAAACCCUCAAAGAUCCUUUUUAGACUUACUGAAAAGGAUUUUUGGACUUGGAGGUUCAAUGCUCGCCUUUCACCUUUGAAAGUGAGCUCCUCUCAAAUGAAUUAGUGGGGUCUGCUUUGCUCGAUCCUUGACGUGAUAAGAUGUUUCUACGUUUUGGAUUUUGGCACUGUUCCUUGGACGCCUGCUUCUAACUGUCUCACAGACAAUGGAUGGUGCUCCGGUUCCUACCGCCUAACGUCGGUGGGAGGCUGGACCCACGAAUGAAAACCUUGACCUCAAAUCGGGUGAGACUACCCGCUGAACUUAAGCAUAUCA
rnacentral:rRNA from 1 species